rnacentral:rRNA from 1 species
UGGAGGCAGCAGUAGGGAAUAUUGGACAAUGGGCGCAAGCCUGAUCCAGCCAUGCCGCGUGAGUGAUGAAGGUCUUAGGAUUGUAAAGCUCUUUCACCGGGGACGAUAAUGACGGUACCCGGAGAAGAAGCCCCGGCUAACUUCGUGCCAGCAGCCGCGGUAAUACGAAGGGGGCUAGCGUUGUUCGGAAUUACUGGGCGUAAAGCGCACGUAGGCGGACUUUUAAGUCAGGGGUGAAAUCCCGGGGCUCAACCCCGGAACUGCCUUUGAUACUGGGAGUCUUGAGUGUGGUAGAGGUGAGUGGAAUUGCGAGUGUAGAGGUGAAAUUCGUAGAUAUUCGCAGGAACACCAGUGGCGAAGGCGGCUCACUGGACCACAACUGACGCUGAGGUGCGAAAGCGUGGGGAGCAAACAGGAUUAGAUACCCCAGUAGUCUG